UACGUAGGGUGCGAGCGUUAAUCGGAAUUACUGGGCGUAAAGCGUGCGUAGGCGGUUCGUUAAGUUCGUUGUGAAAGCCCCGGGCUCAACCUGGGAACUGCAAUGGAAACUGGCGGGCUUGAGUGUGGCAGAGGGGGGUGGAAUUCCGCGUGUAGCAGUGAAAUGCGUAGAUAUGCGGAGGAACACCGAUGGCGAAGGCAAUCCCCUGGGCCUGCACUGACGCUCAUGCACGAAAGCGUGGGGAGCAAACAGG
rnacentral:rRNA from 1 species